UCCCCACUCUUCUUCCAGUCGCCGUCUCCUCCCAUCCCGCUCCCGUGCGCGUGCGGCUGCGGCCGCCGCCAACCCCUCUUCCUCCCCCACGUCCCUCUCUGGAGCUCCACUUUACGGAAGAGAGAUGGACAAGGAGGCCAGUGGAGCGACGACAUCGACCGUGCUGAGCAGCGCGCGGGAGCGCCGCCGGUGGAGCGACGACAUCGAGGUCCGCCUCGUCUUCGUCUAUCCUUGGGGAUAGGGAGAGGAUGCAGAAGGCAGUGCUCUUCUUGGUUGGUAGGAGAGGAUGCGGGAGGAGGAGGACGAGAAGGGGUGAGUUCGCCCCAACCGCCUGCCAGCGAAGCCGACGGCCAGCAUCGAUCUCGAGCGACGCCGGUGACCAACACCCCCAGCCAGCUAGGGUUUGGGUGUCCAGACUCCAGAGUACAUGUCUUAGGGGAACCUGCAUGAAUACAGGAUCAUCUCAGAUCUUGUUCAUCCUGCCUUUUUCCUCACAGACUUGUCUUCCACAACGCAGUCUCCUCUCCACGACAGCCUGAUGAGCUUGUGGGGGAGGAGAGCAACGGGCGCAGGGUACAACGAGCUCGCGGAUCCGGGAGUACGUUCAAGGAGUGGAGCUUGCGCUCAGUGGGAUGGUUGGCAACCCGCGUGAAGCAAAAAGUUCCUUGCUGGUUCAUUUUGUUGCGAGGGGUGCUCCCAGCUCAAAGGCUAAACCAUGAGGUCACUGCUGUUGUCAUCACAGAGUUCAGGAACUUUUGGCAAGUAAAUGUAACCUGACGAUGUUCUCAUAUCAUGUUGUCUGUCAUCGAAGCUGCCUACUAAUCUGCAAGAUCCGAUCAUUGCCAGUGUUUGGGUGACUCGACACUGAAGCAGGUGGAGCAGUAGCGGAUGGGGUUUUCGUGUUCAUCAGAGAGGUGGAGAUGAGCUCGAACUGUUAGUGGUCAAACCAUGGGAAGGGAGCAAAGAGCAAGGCCAGAAACAUGGGUAUGCAGAUAUCAUGCAUCCUCUCUUGGGAGAAGACCAAGAAAGCCACAGGGAUAAUCUGGCUUAUUGAAGUAACAUAGUGAUAUUUUUUCCCUACAGCCCGUCUUCUUGCCUAAUGAAGCAACUGGCAUUAGUUUUUCUGUGGCGUCAACCUUAUGUGUCGAGAAUGCAGGUGUGCCCAUCACAAAGCUUGCUCUGUACAUAUAUCACAUUUUCCUACUGGUGCGAGCUUUCCAAUUUUUUUUUGAAUCAUGCCUUGGUUAAAGGCAAAUAUGGACCAAUGCAUUUUCUUCCUAAAAUACUUCUCCUACCCGUGUUGAUGGUCACAUUUUUCCAAUUUUCAAUGAUGUACCUAAGAUACAUAAUCAGAGGUGUCAUCAUGGGCAUCUGAGACACACUGCACAAAUUCUCUGAAAAUAAAGAAUGUCGCUGCAACAAUUCUUCUUCAACAUUCAGUGUCAUGGUUUCUUCCUAAAAUACUUCUCCUGCCAAUGUUGAUGGUCACAGUUUUUCUUGCUUUCACUGAUGUACUUAAGAUACAUGCCUUAUAGGUAGAUCAUAAGGGUUGUUACACGAUUAGUUUGUACAUUUAUCCAAAUAUAAUCCAUAAAAAUUGAUUCAAAAAUCUGUAUAUCAUCUCUUGUCAUUUAACAGAACAAUACAGUCUAUCUUGAUUGAUCAUUUGCUAAGAUCAUCAUCUGUCCGUGUUUAGGAUUUUAACAUUUUCUGCAAAUAAUAUCUGAAGUGGUCAUACAAUACCGUUGCAUUAUCUUCAAUUUUAUUCAAGUAUGCCAUUCCUCGCUUUUUUAUCUGUCUACGUGUUUCUUAAUCUGAAUCCUUCGUGUGAUGCACAUAUUUACACAGGAGAUCAUGCUUAAAUCAUGGAUGCCUUAUAGCGGACUACAUAAUCAUGACAAGUAGAUUUAUUUAUUUGUAAGACAAUCCAACCAGUAGAAGACAAUAACUUUCCUGUGUUUUGUUAUUUGUUACCUUGUGCUCUCUUCUCCUGGUAGCAUUUUUUUUGGCCAUCGCCUCAUACAUAUUUUGGUUGUGGAGUAAGCUUUACUUUUGUUUGUUUCGGGGGUGUUGCUGUCGCAAACUAUUGCCGUGUUCAUCUUUCUGGCAGGGUAUUAAGCUUUCUCCACCCUAUAUAUCCAACUGAUUGUCCUUCAUCAUUUACCUUUUAUGUUUGCAUAUGUUUGUAUGCUCUGUUUCUAAUAAGGUUUUUCUGCCGGCAUUUUUGCAUGUUUUGGUUUGGUUGAGUUCUUUUUAUUUUAUUCAUUCCGUACCAUGGGAUGUUUGCUAUCUACCCUUCCACUGUUCAUGUUGUUGGAUAUGGUUGCUUCCCAGUGUCAGUAUGCUAAACUAGCUGUCGCAUCCACGUGAACUUCUAAAUUUCUCGUCUUCUCACCUAUGUGUAUGGGUCAUUACUGAAUCUGCUGCACUGGCCAUAUAGAUCCAAGACCUUGCUGAGCGCGUACACCAUGCUCUGCAUCCCACAUUAGCAACCAGCCGUGGGCUCUUGCUCAUGUGAGACAAAACAACUACUCAGAUGCUAUGUUGUUAAUUAUGUUUCUACCUUUGCCCUGUUGUGUGUACUUUCCUGAUUUAUGUUAGCUACUUAUUUCCGAUGCUUGGUGCAGCUACUUGACUUGUGUUACUACUUCUAAUUCCUGGCUGUUUUGGAUGAAAGUAACUAUAGAUUGGUUCUUAAGGUGAUGUUCAUCUUUAUUUACAUGAUUGCAACUUUUUUUCGGCAGGGCCAAGGCCGUGGAGGCUCCAAAUUUUUAUUCAACUCACAGGAAACUUCUUUGAGCAUGUUCUUCUAAUUAUAUCUUUUAUCCUUAUAGCAUUUACUUUAUCAAACCAGCUAAGUUGAUGCAUAUUCUUCGAGCAUACCUAUACAUUACAAAUAUUGUGCUUUCUUUGACAGCAUAUGUCUAUUCUACGCUCUCUUCAGCAAGAAAUCCUGCACUGUAUCCAAGAAUUUGUUCUUCCUAAGGCUGAGUACCAUCUUCGAGUUAUGUGAAGAUGCCAAAGUUUGCAUGAGUGUAUGUCGUUGUGUGAAAGGGCAAUUUGCUUUCCUCUGAACUUAAAUUGACACUGCAAUAUAUAGUGUAUUUCAACCAUGUCGUCUUAAUGAUGUUUACUUUAGAUUGAUAUACCUUAGUGUUUUAAAUUUACCAAAUGAUACUCACACUGCUUUUGGCCGCUAUUUUAUAAGCCGUAGAUUGCUCUGAGUUCCACGGGAUCAUGCGCUAAGGUGCACAACUAAAUCUCUUGUCAUUUAACAGCACAAUACAGCCUAUAGUCUGGUUCCUUUUACUAAUAACGUUUUUUUCAAAAUGCAGUGAUAAUGGAUUUGUUCUUUUUUGGUGCAUAUAUAUUUUUUGAGAUGCUUCAGACAUUUUACUUCUACCUGCGUACAUAUAAAUUGCAGUAUGCUCAUAAAUCAUUUGUUUUAGAGAAACCAAAUUUCAGCAUAUGCACAAUUCAGGUUAGUCGGUGUAUUUUUCUUAUGUUAACAUUCAGGUUAGCCAAUCCUCAUAAAUUAUUUAACGGUGCCAUAUUAACCAUGUUCGGGUACAACUGUUGAAGAUCGAUCAUAGGGCGAUCAUAGGGGUAGGUGCCCCAUAAUUUUUUUAUAAUAUACUGCCAGAAUUUUUUUCUUAGCUUCUUGGGUGUAAUGCGGUAGUCCAUCAUGUUGAAUAAUUUUUAUUUGGUUGGUUCUGAGCCUUGGUGACGGUCUUGCAUGAUAGAACCUUGUAUCCUCGUCCCCUAGAACGUGCCAGUUUACCUUGCCACAUUGUCUUGCUUUGGUAGCAAUAGACUAAGCUGAACCUUCAAUUUUUUGCUUAACCACAUAUCCCUGAAGAAGCCCUCUAAUUUCGUUAGGGCUCGAGACAGCCUAUAAAGGGCCCCCAAGGUAAAUUUGUUUGCAUCCAAAAUGUUUCCGUCAGGUUUUUCAGAAAUUUCCUCCACCUCCCAAUAUUUUUUUCUCAGCUGUUUUAGUUUUUGGCUAAUCCUUUUCGCUUUGUCUUUACAUAGGGAAUGUGACUCCAGGUUACAGUGAUCAAGUUGACGAAGCCAUUUCUGAAUUUUCAAUUAUUUUCAUACCGGAAUUUUUUUGAGUUUGGGGCAGUUGGCAAAGCUUCAAUUUUCAAAUGACAGUGAUCGAUAUGGGAGGAUCAUGAAUAUUGGAUCAAGUGAAAUCUUGAAUCUGCAAGCCUCUAAUUGCAUAAUUAAACUGGGAAUGCAGCUGUGCCAGUACUUAUAUCCUCACCUGAUCGGACUUUGUUAAAAUCACCAGCGACAUUCCAAAGACCAUCAAUAAAUGGUUGUAGUAUAUGUCUGAUUUCAUCAAAUAAUUCAUCCUGUUCUGCGUCCACUGUUGGCCCAUAAACAUAAGUUGCCCAGAGAUGGAACUCUAAACUUUUAGAUUGGAAGUGAACUAUUCUUGGCUAUUUUAUUGCAUCAUUUAAAUUUUUUUAGUUCCAUACUAUUAUAAUUUCACCAGCUGUACAUAUAUAUGCACAAAUUUGUCGUGCAUAGCAGGAAGGAAAGCACACUUUUUGAAGCAAGAAAUGGGCUGCAAUUUUGUCUCUUGUCGGAAACCAGCGAGUCACGAACUAACUCACUUUCAAACUGUGUUGUCAUGAUGGAAUGGGGUUUAUAGCAAAGGUAACACAGACCUUGACAAACAAGCAGACACUGAAACUGAUGAUCUGAUGACUGCUACCACAAACUGACACCAAGCAACUGCAAACUGAAAAACUGCAACAACCACACUGGGAAAUAAAAAAACAACAACGAGGCCAUCUCAGCUCCAUUCUCUACCCAGACCAAGAACGAGGCCAUCAGCGAAGCUGCCCCUACAGUUCCAGUGCAAGAGAAGGAGAGCAUUGUUGUUAUCUCCUCCAACAAAGACGACAAUAAUGCUGACCACUGAUAGGUAGGAACUUGAAAGCAGUAGAACCAAACCAGUACUACUAAGCUUUACACAAUACAACAGGCACCUUAGUGUACUGUAUAGAUUAGAUCCAACGUAUCUGUAAUGCAGCUCCAUCCCUCUAUUGUCAUCUGGCAGUAGAAACAUGUAUUGACGUCAACAUUAUUCGCCAUGUAAUCCAAUGUAAAUAUAUCUACUAGC